GUGCCAGCAGCCGCGGUAAUACAGAGGGUGCGAGCGUUAAUCGGAAUUACUGGGCGUAAAGGGUGCGUAGGUGGUUGAAUAAGUUAGGUGUGAAAGCCCUGGGCUUAACCUGGGAAUUGCGCAUAAGACUGUUUAGCUAGAGUAUUGUAGAGGAAGGUGGAAUUUCCGGUGUAGCGGUGAAAUGCGUAGAUAUCGGAAGGAACAUCAGUGGCGAAGGCGACUUUCUGGACAAAUACUGACACUGAGGCACGAAAGCAUGGGGAGCAAACAGGAUUAGAUACCCCGGUAGUCC
rnacentral:rRNA from 1 species